CUGUAGGGGUUGAGCAAUCUUCCCCGGGAAAGCAAGCUGGCAAAUGUCCUGUGCAGCCCACUCUUCGGAGCAUCGGUAGACUACCUUUGAACUAUCAGGUAUCCCGGGGCAUCAGCUACUGCUGCCACUUGUGAACCCAAUCCCUUGUCUAUGAGUACCUCUCUUUCCCUCGGUGGGCUGGCCUGCCGUUAGGGACACUCUCAAACCUCUUUGUAAUAACUGUUUCAACCGUAUCAAAUCAAAUCUUA
rnacentral:misc_RNA from 1 species